rnacentral:rRNA from 1 species
UACGGAGGGUGCGAGCGUUGUCCGGAAUCACUGGGCGUAAAGGGCGCGUAGGCGGCUCAUGAAGGCUGUGGUGAAAGUCCGGGGCUCAACCUCGGAUCGGCCGUGGCGACUCGUGGGCUGGAGCACUGUAGAGGCGGGUGGAAUUCCGGGUGUAGCGGUGGAAUGCGUAGAGAUCCGGAAGAACACCAGUGGCGAAGGCGGCUACCUGGACAAAUACUGACGCUGAGGCGCGAAAGCGUGGGGAUCAAACAGG